rnacentral:rRNA from 1 species
AUUGAACGCUGGCGGCAGGCCUAACACAUGCAAGUCGAACGAGUGGCGGACGGGUGAGUAAUGUCUGGGAAACUGCGCGAUGGAGGGGGAUAACUACUGGAAACGGUAGCUAAUACCGCAUACCAUCGGAUGUGCCCAGAUGGGAUUGGCUAGUAGGUGGGGUAAUGGCUCACCUAGGCGACGAUCCCUAGCUGGGCUGAGAGGAUGACCACCCCAACUGGAACGGGGACACGGUCCAGACUCCUACGGGAGGCAGCAGGGGGGAAUAUUGCACAGUGGGGGCAAUCCUGAUGCAGCCAUGCCGCGUGUGUGAAGAAGGCCUUCGGGUUGUAAAGUACUUUCAGCGGGGAGGCGUUACCCGCAGAAGAAGCACCGGCUAACUCCGUGCCAGCAGCCGCGGUAAUAC